AUUGAACGCUGGCGGCAUGCCUUAUGCAUGCAAGUAGAACGAAGCCUUCGGGCUUAGUGGCGGACGGGUGAGUAACACGUGGGAACGUACCUUUUGGUUCGGAACAACUCAGGGAAACUUGAGCUAAUACCGGAUGAGCCCUUAGGGGGAAAGAUUUAUCGCCGAAAGAGCGGCCCGCGUUAGAUUAGCUAGUUGGUGAGGUAAAGGCUCACCAAGGCUACGAUCUAUAGCUGGUCUGAGAGGAUGAUCAGCCACACUGGGACUGAGACACGGCCCAGACUCCUACGGGAGGCAGCAGUGGGGAAUCUUGCGCAAUGGGCGAAAGCCUGACGCAGCCAUGCCGCGUGAAUGAUGAAGGUCUUAGGAUUGUAAAAUUCUUUUACCAGGGACGAUAAUGACGGUACCUGGAGAAAAAGCCCCGGCUAACUUCGUGCCAGCAGCCGCCGUAACAC
rnacentral:rRNA from 1 species